GACGAACCGUGCGAACGUUGUUCGGAAUCACUGGGCUUAAAGGGCGCGUAGGCGGGUCACCAAGUCCGGGGUGAAAUCUUUCGGCUUAACCGGAAAACUGCCUUGGAUACUGGUGACCUCGAGGGAGGUAGGGGUCUGCGGAACUUCUGGUGGAGCGGUGAAAUGCGUUGAUAUCAGAAGGAACGCCGGUGGCGAAAGCGGCGGACUGGACCUCCGCUGACGCUGAGGCGCGAAAGCUAGGGGAGCAAACGGG
rnacentral:rRNA from 1 species